AUACUUACAUAUACAUCGUAUAAUCCUUUGGAUAUGGCAAGGGAGUUUCUACAUUGCUACCGUAAAUAGCAUUACUAUGAAUGAGC
rnacentral:ncRNA from 1 species